AAAUUUUUUUGAGGCCAGUAGGCAUUGUCUGCGUUAGGAUUUCUGUAUCAUCCUCCUAACGCAGACAAUGCCUACUGGCCUAAGAAAAAUUU